rnacentral:misc_RNA from 1 species
UGAGUGCAAAAUUACAAUUAU